rnacentral:lncRNA from 1 species
UUUUUUUUUUUUGAAAAGUAACCUUGCAUGGAUCUUCAAAGUCCAAACCUAGCAGGUUAGAUUGGACCAUUGCUUCUUGAUUCAGGCGAGUUCGAGGCUAGUAGCUCAGAAUCUCAGAUCCUGAAAAGCACCGCUAACCACACCCCCUUUCAGAUUCAUCAUCAGUCACUUCCAACCAGCGUCCAGGAGUGGCACUGUGGCACUGAGAAAGCCCUCCCAAACCCGUCAAAGUUCGCGGCACAUCUCUCCCACGUUCUCCUCCUCGGCCCCCAAAACCCCCCAUCCCCGCGCGCGCGUGGCGCGCAGCUCGCCCCCGCACGCCAAGAAUCUCGGGUGCCGGCACCGCCGCCGUCACCCCGCCGAGGCUCCCAAGCUUUCUUCAUUUCCUGUCCGCGCCCCGGCACCCCGCGCAAGCCUCCAAAUCCGCGAGCGCCAUGCGGGCCGCAGACCCGGCCGAAACCCGCCACCGUUCCUGCCUUCUUUUCCACACUCCCCUCGUCACGCGCUCUGCUGUCGCUGUCCGUCGGCGUCCGGGAUGACAACAAAACAACGAACAGAUCCAGGGAAUCGUAUACACUAAAAAAAAAUGGAGUAAUGCUAUCAUGGAGCAUCAGCAGAUUCCGGCCACGCUCGCGGGCGAUCGCGCUUUGACCCGUAAACGGCGCGAGGCGUCCAAAUCAGCCUGCCGGAGAAGAAUAAUGGUUAAUGAGCCUGUGACGCUCGAGGUAGCUUAACCACCGGAUGAUCCGUCGGCCGGCUCGGCCUACACGACACCGCCGAGGUCGCUCUCGCCGUGCCCAAAUCGCACCCGGAUGACGAACCGGCCGUUGCGGGCGUUUGGUUUGGUAUACUUUCUUAAACAGUGUGAGGCAGGCAGGCAGGCAGAGGCAGCAGCAAUGGCGGCGAACGAUGGCACCACCUCCUCCCCACCUGAACAUUCCUCCACUCGCCCAACCUCGUACCCGGCCGAACCGAGGCCCGGAGCGCCGGAGCGGUUGGCUCUUGCUGGGGCCUGCCGAGGAGGGGAGGGGAGGUGAACGGUGAACCGCUCGUCCAACCGGCACCCACCAGGCCACCACCACCACUCCGCCGCGGGUACGAGUACGAGGCGAGACGCCGAGGAGGGAACACGGGACCGAGCCAAAACGGGGGCUGCACCGCCGGGUUCGGCUUCCGCUCCAACCUAUCGACAAGUGCCGGCGACCAACCCGUUUUUUGCCCUUUCCAUCUUGUGUGCCCCGUUGGCCAUUGCCCACUGGGGACGGGAAAAAGAAAGGCCGUUCCGUUUAUCGUUGGGUCGGCAUCAACGAACGAACCGACGGCGAGGUUAGCGCUCAUCCGGUUCACCCCCAUCAUCAUACCAAAAAGCUCUCAGAGUGCGCUCGUGUCUGGCUAGCUGCUUCUGCGUGUUGCGUGUAGGACUGGCUGCCUGGCUUUUUUAUCGCGCAGGUGACGACGGCCCGGCGGCGGAUAGAGUAGAGAAGGUAUUCCAAAGUUGACAUACGUGUACGUGUCGUGCGUAUCUCUCCAUCGGUCGGGGUCAUGAACGUAUGAAACCACCCUCAUCUUAUCUCGAUCUCAUCGAUCUCAUGAAUUAAGGUGUUUGGAUCUUGAGCUAAAGCUAAAGUUUAGUAAUUGUCACAUCAAAUCUUCGGAUGCUAAUUAGGAGGACUAAACUAUAAAACUAAUUACACAUAUAGAGACUAAUUCGCGAGACGAAUCUAUUAAGCCUAAUUAAUUCAUAAUUAGCACAUAUUUACUCUAGCAUCACAUUGUCAUGGACUAAUUAGGUUUAAUAGAUUCAUCUCGCGAAUUAACCUUCAUCUGUGCAAUUAGUUUUAUAAUCGGUCUAUAUCUAAUAUAAUAUCUAAACGAUAUCUAAACGUUCAAUGUGACAUCUAAACGAUAUCUAAACAUUCGAUGUGACAGGAGGUUUAGUCCGUAGAACCGGCGCCUAACUUUAUUUUCUCAUAUCUCGUAGUGACUUCACGCGCUCCAAUCAGGGCUUGACAUGUUCAACGUCUGACACCUCAAACUGGAGAAAAACUGGAGCUCUGAAAUGUUGACUGUUUUGUUUUUUUAAAAAAAGGCAUGUUGACGGGCAGGCGCUCCUCCAUGGAGGGAGAGCUGAGCUCGAAGUCGCAGUAAAUGGACUCAUGCAGUGGAAAUGCUGAGUGGGGAGCAGUAAUAAAAUUUAAAACGCCACGCGCAGGGCAUCUCGAGUUCUCGACCUCGGCUGGACUCUCCUUGAGAUCUUCAAACAGUGCGUGCUUGCUAGCUGGACUGCAGCAGGGGGAGUAAUUGCGGUGGUACUAAUCCCGGGUCAAAAACCAAUCUUAACCGGCCACGGUAGGGAGAGUGGCAGCUCACUUCCACUGAUUGGUUAGUUUGGUUGGUUCAUGAAAGGACCAAGAACUUGCUUGAUCUUGAUCUUGAUCCAGCAUGGUUUCUGGAUUUGGGAAAGUAGAGAAAAAUGUGCAGCAAGGGAAGGGAAUGCUGAUCUUUAAGAGCAAGUCGCAAUUUUGCAGCAGAUGACACUUUAAUUGAAGUCGGACAUGUUCUAAUCUUUUCACAAUAGCAGCAGCACAAGAACGGGGGAAGAGUUGAUGGAGAGAUGGAGAUCUAUCUAUGUCUGGAUCCUAUUUCCGUUGCGGGCGCACCGGAUUGGCCGAUCCGCGGCGAGCGCAUUUCGCCGGACGAGGUGUCGGCACCGCCCGCCCGGCCGCCGGCCGA